GACGAACGCUGGCGGCGUGCCUAAUACAUGCAAGUAGGACGCAGUUGCGAACGGGUGAGUAACGCGUAGGUAACUACCUAUUAGAGGGGGAUAACUAUUGGAAACGAUAGCUAAUACCGCAUACUAGUAGAUGGACCUGCGUUGUAUUAGCUAGUAGGUAGGGUAAUGGCCUACCUAGGCAACGAUACAUAGCCGGGCUGGGAGGGUGAUCGGGCAAACUGGGACUGGAAAAAGGGCCCGACUCCGAAGGGAGGGAACAGGAGGGGAUCUUCGGCAAUGGGGGGAACCCUGACCGAGGAAAGCCGGGGGAGGGAAGGAGGUUUUCGGAUCGUAAAGCUCUGUUGUGAAGGAAGCGGUACUUAACGAGAAAGGGACGGCUAACUACGUGCCAGCAGCCGCGGUAAUAC
rnacentral:rRNA from 1 species